rnacentral:rRNA from 1 species
CGCGUAGGCGGGAUGGCAAGUCGGUCGUGAAAUCCCUCGGCUCAACUGAGGAGCGUCGAUCGAAACUGCCGUUCUUGAGGAUUGCAGAGGAGACUGGAAUUCCCGGUGUAGCGGUGAAAUGUGUAGAGAUCGGGAGGAACACCGGUGGCGAAGGCGGGUCUCUGGGCAAUUCCUGACGCUGAGGCGCGAAAGCGUGGGGAGCAAACGGGAUUAGAUACCCCGGUAGUCCACGCUGUAAACGAUGACGACUAGGUGUGGGGGGGUUCAGUCCCCUCCGUGCCGCAGCUAACGCAUUAAGUCGUCCGCCUGGGGAGUACGGCCGCAAGGUUGAA